rnacentral:lncRNA from 1 species
GUUCGAAACUCGCUCAUAAUUAUGGAGAAACGUGAAUAACCAACCGCGGAUAGACGGAAACCACAGAUGCAAAUUUUGCAAGAAGCAAUCACAACCCCUGAGCAUCAAGCACGAUUGCGAAUCUAUCGUCGAACUCACGCUACGUUCGGUUCUGUGUUGAACCCCGUGACAAUUCACUGUUCCGCUCACACGAACAGACACGCGGACCGACAGCUCGCCUCGAGAGGUGUCAGAAUCCACAUCACUGUCUCGUCACCGCCAUGUUACUACCCUCUCCAUUGGAAUCCAAGAACGGCACCGAGAAGACACCUAUCGGAUAUGUUGCUCGCUGGAGUGUGGUUUCUCGGCUAACACGUAGCCAUCCGCAGAGUGUGACACGCAAGAGUGUUCGGCGAGUUCUCGACGAAGAUGUGCUGGCCCGAAUCAACAAUGCUCCUCAUGCCGAGACGAGGCUGCUAUUUUCUCGUUUUCCAUUCUAUCGUUUCGAUAACACAUCACCACAAACGGACAUGCCGCAUCUAGCCGCCCGCGACGCCACUCCUGGCGAAUAGCCAAGCUAUCAUUCCGACGGGCGCCUGCACGCUCCCCCCUCAAUAAAGAGACGGCCGGUGGAAGCCACUCGCCAUGUCUCCGCACUCGCUUUCCGCACUGCUCAAUUCCAGCAAGGCGUCCGCAGGCAGCUCACGGGCGGCGGGUCGCUUUGCCCUUCUUUGAAGAAUGUCAUCAGUCCUGAAGUUCAUCGGGGACGAAGUGGGUAAAUGCAAGACGUUUGCUGAUGGAAACACAUCCGCUGCCGAAGUGACUGAAAUAGACGCAGGUGUCGGGGCUGAACGCGCUGGAGGCGCACUGUCUGGAACCCCGCCAGCCUGAUUUUGUCUGCUUCGUUCAUUUUCAGUUAUGGUAUUUAAAACGCCGGCGCGACCAGAGCCGGCACGCGCACCACUCACCCGGCAAUCUGCUUCUGGCACCUUCAGCUCUGGCUGCCCUGCGGGAACUUUCUCACAUUCUGGCUGGGGACAUUCCACCGAUGGAGUCUGAGAGCGAAGUUGUUGAGAGAGGGGUACAAACGGUCCUAUCAAUGGGGUUUGCAGCUGUUGUUGCUGCUCUUCGCUGCCAGCAGCAGUAAAGCGGCUGGCUUCAAGAGGACCAGCGGGUGACUCAGCAGAGACUCCUGACAACUGGCAGGGAUGUGGUGAAUAGUGGCUGAUGCCAGCCGCCCUCUCGUGACGACGGAUGGGAACUGCGUGAGGGAAAGCGCUAUCACAGUGAACCGAGUGUACUCGUUCGUGAGAAAAGCCAGACGCAAAGUUGUGACACUCGCUGCCGCGCCUCCUAGUUUCGGGCGCCAGUUUGCGUGUGUGUGAGAGAGACAGUGUGCUAGCACUCGAUACUGUAGCGUGCUGGAGACACUGAAAUGGUGCGUGCAACAGCUGAUGCUUCGGAGUCCAACCGUCACCUGCCUCACACAGCUGCCGCGGGGUCGGAGAGCUACGGGUAUGGCGCGCCGCAUCUGCAGUGGAGGCAAGAAGAACUACAGGAGGAGCCAUGGAGGCAGAAGAGACUGACGAGAUAACUGAAGAAGAGGAAGAGACUGGCGGAGCGAAGGUCGCGGGAGGGCCCGUUGAAAGAGGCCACCCGCGAGACACACUCGCCUGCGAGAGCAGGGAGCACGAGUGCCUGCCGCUGCAAGUGCCUUGCAUGCCCUCCCAGUGAGAGCCAACGGCUGUGCUUGUCUGCUUUGCCACGUUCUCUCCGGGUGUCUGGCGCUCUUCCACACAAAGCCGCGGCGCCCAUGGGCCUACGCUCAAACCCAUCCCACUUCCGGCCCUUUCCACGCCAUCCACGCAGCUGAGGUAGGGCGAACCGUUGUGAACAAGAAACAACCUCCCGGGAGCAGGCGACACAAGAUGCUGGUCGUCCUUUAUCAUUCGCUGUUGCAGCUGUGGCGAGAGAGUCAAGAGCAAGUGACCGCCAGAGUCAGUGUGAGCUGCCGACAGCUCAGAAGGAGCCUGUAAGGCCGGCGAGUCGUCUGGCGUGGGCCGAGAACGCAUCGUCACCUGGGUUUUAUCAAGUGCAUGUGGUGAGGAGUGGAACCCCUUGCUCGAGGAUUCGGGACCUCUGAAACCUUCGCGUUGCGUCGGGACUGAUGCCAAAUCUCCUGAAACGUACAAAGGGAUGUGAUCGUUUCCUGUGUGCGAUUCAUCCUGUCUCUCUGGACUUCCACUGCACUCUGUAUUUUGCGUGUUGCCGGUCUGCGCUGGUGCUGGACUCAGCUCCGUUGCUUCUUGCUCUGAAAUGCAUUGGCCAAUCGGCUUGGUGGAGCCAAGCGGAGAGAAUUCGGCAGUGUUUGUCUGUUGACGACCCGUGACUGCUCUCUGCUUCUCUCGUUCCUGCGCAAGCACCUCAUCCACUUGCCCCAGACGCAAUUCAAAAGAGGCGGUCGUCAAAGGGUCAGUUGCGCGGUGCUUUAUUGGUGACUGUGAGUGGGACUCCAACGGAGAUCCUAAAUCCUCCUUUUCAGAGGUUACACAGCAUGUUUGCUCUGCUUUCUUUCCUUUGCCACGAAGAGCUUGUCCAACUGAUGACUCAACCUGGCAGCCAAAAGAGAGGCACAGGGGAAAAGUUCAGAAAUUGAGCGAUAACACCUGGUCCGAAAAAGCCUUGACUUCUGCACCGCUGACACGCGGUUUCCACUUGGAAUACCUGACAGUGCGGGGGGGGGGGUUGUGCAACAAGAGAAAACUGCCGGGCAGAUGCUAUGACAUGCAGUGAAGCAAUGCCAGCACGCAAGACACGGAAAUAUACCCUACUUGAGAGUUCAUUCGAUCACAGAAAGGACAUGUGACGACAGCCAGCCGAUCACGGUGGAACAUUGUCGACGCUUUUUACUCCUCAACUGCGGUGAACCAUCAAAAAAAGGCAAUCGUCUCUGCGUUGUCCUCGCUCAAGCCAAGUGAGAGCGACAAAUACUGCAUUCACACAAGCUGCCUGGCCCUACGUUCUUGGCACGGAGAAGCGUCACAACCUCCUCGAGGCGCUCCAACGCUCGCGACAGCAGGGACUUGAGAACGUCCACCUCUCGUUCUUUCUCACGGAGACCAGAGGCUAGCGCUGUAACUUCUUCUGCUCUGAGCGUCUCGAGUUCCCUGACUCGGGUGUCAUCGAAGCUGGCGGUCGACGGACGGGCGACUGCGACCAGAAACGCGAUGGUUCUCGACCCGAGCGACGCUCGUCCCUCGGGAGUGAAGUCAGUCUCAGUCUCCGCAGCACGGCAUGCAGGCGGUAAUCCUGUCCCUCCUCAAGUCUGUUUCCGCCGCCCCUGUGCUCCUCAAAGCGGUCUGGACACUCGACAGCGCCGACGUCGGCGCACCGCCAAACUUCUUCAAGGUACUCCUUUCGUCGCAUGCUCAGGGACCGAGCCCGGGAACCUCCCUCACUCUCUCCUCUGCCCUCACCGCCACUUCCCUUCUUGGCAUCGCCACCAUCGCCCGCGACGCUCUGCUCCUCGCUCGUCCGAGUCACCAGACCCGUGCGGCUUCCCGCGGAAGUCUGUCGCGAACGAAACUUGCGAAGUUCGCGCUGGACUUGGAGCUGAAGGAGCUCGAGGGCUUCCAGGCAGCGACUCUCCUCUCGAGUGACGUCGGCUGCCAUGCGGAGCGGAAGAAGCAUGCGAUUUCACGGGGAAACCCCUGCGGGGGACACUGCGUCCUUUCGGCACUGAAGUGUCUUGACGAACUGCCGCCUCCUGCACAAGAUCUGACAGGGACAUAAAAAAGAGGAACGCAAGGCCACUGCGACUUGCCGUGUCACUUGGAUCCUCCUGUGGUGUCGCAAAAUGGCGUGGAUUGGUUCAUCCAUGCAGGUUUUAGAACCGUCGCCCGCGAUAGGUUCUACGUUUCAGAAGCUAACGGCCCAUCACUACUACUGCUACGGUGCAGACGAAGACCGCAUACAAUACCGGCUAACAGGAGUGCACUUGCUAAAAGGAAGGACCGAAGCACCAGCACACAAACAGCGACUGUAGUGGCAUGUAGCUUGGAUCGCCGUAAAGUAUCGAUGCACGUAAACCAUGUGCUCAGUACAGACGAUCACAUGUCGUUCCGCGAGGCACGAAACGAGCAAGGGAGAUGCGGUUGUGCUUCUGUAACGAAGAGACAAUAAACAGAUAAGAAUCAAGCGGAAGUGAAAGGAAGGGAACAGAUUCAGAAAGCUGGCGAGCUAUUGCCGGCGAAGGGGCAACCUCGACAAGGGAAAGGUAGAUUUGCCCUACUCUGUAUGCAUGCGCACACCGAGUUUCCUGUGCCGCGUUACAGCAGACAUGACAUUAACAAGGAAUUUGGUUGAUAUCUUCUAGCAGAGAAGCCAAAUGAAAAUGCAACACAUAUUUUCGUGAAUGAGAAACACACCAGAUAUUCGGUGAGAAAGAGUUCGACAAACACACCAACGGUCGCGCAGUACGGGACAUCCAUCAACAUGUCUUGCAUGCAACCUCCAGCUGCGAGAAAACCAUCGCAGCUUUCCGCCUGAGAACCCAGAGUCAGCUUCCUGUUUGUGUGAGGAUUACCUUAUCUGAAAUCCACAUGCUUCAAAAAGAGAAAAGUGUGGGGACGCAGCACCUUAGCCCCAAGAAUAUACUUCUCCACGGAAAUGCCAACACUGUUCGACGUCAGCAUUUACCCGAAGAGAAGAGAGGUCGCAAUUUCAGUCAGAGCAUGCGCCAAAACACAGAACAUCUAAUGGGAUCCUUUGAACCAGUGGAAUUUUCGUGAAGUUAGACAUCCGGAAAGGCCAUCCAAGCGGAGAGGAAUCUCAGAAUUGCCUCCGUGUUCUAUCUUUUCGAUGUGGCCAUAGAAACGCUACAGAACCGCGAGGCGGACGGCUAGCGUGCCUGUCGCAAAUGUUGUUUAAAAAUGCUCUUUGAUUUUGAGGCAUUGGUGUUGCAAGUUAAUUGCUGAGCACGGUAAUCCGGCCACUCUCUCGUGGUCCUGGUCUUUCUCUGUUUUUCGUACUACAUGGGGUCCCACGGACCUCAAUCAAUAGACACAAUGCAGGAGCACUUUCUACACUGCCUUGUCUAGUUGUGGUCGAGGGCACACGCAAGUUUCAAGUUCGUGGAAGAAGUACAUCACUGCAAUGUCGACAUGCUUUGGCGUGAGCCUGACAUUCUCGUUUUUGUUUAUUCAUGUUGCCUUCUCCGCUCGUAGCGUGUUCUCGCUCUCUACUUCAGAAGCACGCACACACGAAACGACUGCGGCAGAUGAGAAACUCCGCCGCGGUACUCCGCUGCCAGUCCAUGCUUGCGUACAGACGUAUACAGCGUUCAAUUUUGUUUUCUC